rnacentral:misc_RNA from 1 species
CAAGAGAAAAAGGGAGAUGAUGCACUAUGGAGGUUAUUGGUAAAGAAGGUAGUGUCAGCCAGAGUUAUGUCUUCUCUCAAACUGCUCAAGCGGAAAAGAGAAGAGCAACUGAGGGAGACAAUACAGGACCAUGGGAUUAGGACCUUCANGAUUAUAAUUCAACAAGAAGCGGCAUGGUGCAGCAAGAUUCAUUAUAAUAUGUGUUCUUUUUGUGGAUAUAGCAUUUGGGUUAGUCCUUUGCACUCCGUUUGGUUUUAUUCAGAGUCAGUGAAGAAGUAGAAGAAAGUGUCUAUUAGAUAAUGAAGUUGAGUGAAGUAUUCUGUAUAUAAAGGAAAAGGUAGUAAUA